GUGAGGAAUAUUGGUCAAUGGGGGCAACCCUGAACCAGCCAAGUCGCGUGAAGGAUGAAGGUCUUCUGGAUUGUAAACUUCUUUUACACGGGAAUAAAGCGGGGGACGUGUCCCUCUUUGCAUGUACCGUGUGAAUAAGGAUCGGCUAACUCCGUGCCAGCAGCCGCGGUAAUACGGAGGAUCAGAGCGUUAUCCGGAUUUAUUGGGUUUAAAGGGUGCGCAGGCGGGAUGUUAAGUCGGCGGUGAAAUUUUGCAGCUCAACUGUAAAAGUGCCUUCGAUACUGGCCUGCUUGAGUGUGGAUGAAGUAGGCGGAAUUUGUGGUGUAGCGGUGAAAUGCUUAGACAGCACGAGGAACUCCGAGUGCGCAGGCAGCUUACUAAGCCACAACUGACGCUCAUGCACGAAGGCGUGG
rnacentral:rRNA from 1 species